GUGGUUUCAGAUUCUUCAAUCAGGGUCCUGAAGUUAACCUGGGGACACUGAGUGAAGGCUGUAAUUGCAAAGAUGUUUUCACAUGGGUGAAUUGGAAGCCCUAUGGAUGAAAAGCAAACGACGGAAUAGGGCCCUGGAUUGCUUGGCUGAAUGGAAGGGAAAAUGAAACAAGCUGAAGACUAUAGGAUGUCAACUGUGGAUACAACUCACAAGCUACCAUAUUGAUGUGACAUGAUGAAGUGGGAAGGAAAGCCAUCUGGAGUUUCACUGGUGAAUUGAUACAUCUUGCACUUAACAUUGUGUAUCCCCUGGACUUUGAUCAAAUGGACAUGGGCUUUCUGAUCUACUGCAGAGUGCCUGGAAAUUCAGGCUCCUAGGAGGAAGGAACUUGCAUUAUCUCAGGUGAGACUUUGGACUUGGACUUUUGGAUUAAUGCUGGAGUGAUAUAAGAC
rnacentral:lncRNA from 1 species